UUGGCCGACGGUGGGCCAGGGCCGCUGGCGAGCCCGGCCUGGCGACAGGUGGUGGCGGCAGGCCCGAAAAAGAGGAGAGAAAGCAGACAAGUUUGGUGCUCGAGAGGCGUGGGAGAGAAAGAGAGAGAACAGCAGGGGCACUGAGGAGAGGCCAACAGGCAAAGCUGCUGCUGAUUCAUGUUCUGUCUAUGCUGCCUUGCUAACCUACAACAGGAAGCUUUCUUCAGUUGAUCUCCUCUCAACAUUCUACGCCCCUUGGCUACUGUCGCCCAGAGUCACCUAGACUUUUCUCCUGACAUCAGCCACACAUCCUUGCAAUGACAAGCCUUUCCACUGUUCAUCUGCCAUUUAAUUUUAUUUAUUUAUUUAUUUAAACACAUUUUAAUACCACCCAAAACUUAUGUUAAAUAAAGACACCCUACUAUGUCUGUAAAACAAGCUCAUUAUUAACUGCC